UCCCUUAACAAGUAACAAUUAGAGGGCAAGUCUGGUGCCAGCAGCCGCGGUUAAUUCCAGCUCUAAUAGCGUAUAUUAAUAUUGUUGCAAGUUAAAAAGCUCGUAGUUGAAAUUUGGGACUUUAUUGUAUUGGUUUACCUUUUGGUGAACUGUAUGAUGGGUUUCUUCCUACUAGAGUUCGAUUCUGUUCUUAACUGAAGUGGAGUAGCUAUCUUUCGGGGUAGUCAAUUGGUUGUUAUAUCUCCACUAAUGAGCGGAGAGGAGUAAAAUCUUCAAAGUAAGUUAUGUGGGUCAAGGUAUGAUGAUUAAUUGGAGUUCUAGUUCAUUUACUUUGAGAAAAUUAGAGUGUUUAAAGCAGCCUCUUGGGGCACUGAAUACAUUAGCAUGGGAUAAUAAAAUAGGAUCUUCACAAUAUAUUUUAUUGGUUUAAAUUGCGUAUGAAGAUAAUGAUUAAUAGGGAUAGUUGGGGG
rnacentral:rRNA from 1 species